CUUCUCACAGAAAGUGAGCAUGCCUGCCUGCCCUGCGUUUUAAAAUAUUGUUGAAAAAUUAGCUUCAUGUACAUCUGAUUAAUUUCUCAGAUUCAUUGAACACGUUUCAUUGUCUUCAAACUACAUGAAUUCAUCAUAACAAGCUUAGAAUCAGUUUGUCUUGAAAAGCUCAAACGUUUGAAAUACACAAUUUAAGCUUCAGAGAUAUCUAGUACUGUAGCCCCCAGCCACACAGGGCUAUUUAAAUGUAAAUUAAUAAAAAUUAAAUAAAAUUAAAAGUCUAGUUCAUCAAUCACACUAGCCACACUUCAAGGCUCAAUAACUAGUGACAAUCAAUCAGGCAGUGCAAAUAAGGAACAUUUUUGUAAUCUCAGAAAGUUCCAUGGGACAAAACUGCUUUAGACAGUCCUAGCAUAAAUAAGCUAAUGGUACAGUAUACUUAGAGACUGGUAAUAAUUUUAUUAAUGUAGAUUUGCUAUUUUUUUUAAUUUUGGAAAGAAAAAUAUAACUUUAAAAUGUGUUUUCAAUAGUCUCUCUAAAAGAAAUAAAUUGGCUUCUAUAACAUACAAUUUUCCAGCUUCCCCCAAUAUUCUGUUAGUGUUGCCAACAGUUUAUUUAAUUAAUUUGUAAGUCACAUUGAGAACUUUGCUCCCAAAUUGCAAUGAGUCUGCCAACUCUUUUAGCAUUACAAUUAAAAAAAAAAUAAUCUUUUAUGAAUCUAGAACAAAGCAGUAGGUGAGACUUUGCAAUGGGUCAUCAUCUUGAAGUUAAUUUGAUUUACUUCUUGCUUUUUAUUUUUCUCCUGCAUUUAGCUUGAUUUUAAUUGUUUUGAAACCUGCUUUCAUUACCUUUUUUUUUUUUUUGCGGUACACAGGCCUCUCACUGCUGUAGCCUCUCCCGCUGCAGAGCACAGGCUCUGGACGCGCAGGCUCAGCAGCCAUGGCUCACGGGCCCAGCCGCUCUGCGCCAUGUGGGAUCCUCCUGGACUGGGGCACGAACCACUGUCCCCUGCAUCGGCAGGCGGACUCCCAACCACUGCACCACCAGGGAAGCCCUUUCAUUACCUUUUUAAUAAUUCUGUAACACCGUUAGCAAGACUCUACCCAAAAUUCGCUAGAAGACAAUGAAUAUCUCCACUGCCAGUAACGUGAAACACCUAAAACAAUGACAGACCAAUGAACAACCAGUUAUUAUAAACUAUUUCAAGUGGUAAUGACAAAAAAGGAAGAUUGAAAUAAUAGUCUGUGAUUAAUUUCUAUCAAUUUAAUUAGUGAAAUGACAUGUAUGGAUGUUCUAUUUUAGUCAUUUUAUCAUGGAUAGAUAGAUGCACAUUUUCCUCUCUCUGUAACUGUAUGUAUACAGAUAAUCAUGAAUAAGGAGAAAAACAAGCAAAUAAAAUUUUUUUAAACUUGAACAAUGGAAAACAGAAAUUGUAACCAAAAUAGUGAUGCUGAUCAGAACCAGUGGCAGGCAAACGUCCAGACAGAAACCAGGCCCAGGAGCCUCUCAUAAAAUGACGGCUUCACAGAUGACCUGUGGGAAACACUGACUGUGUGGACUCAACGAUUUGACUCCUGGGAUAUAAACAUCAGGUUGUCUCUACUAUAAUGAGAUGCAACCAAAGCACAGCUGAAUUAACGUAACUGUAUGGAAAGCACACUGGGAAGAGACAAAAUGGAUACGGGAGCAGAGAUGAAGACUCAGGUUAAAACAGUCCCACUGAAUGUAAAUGGAUACAGCCACUACGGAGAACAGUACGGAGGUUCCUUAAAAAACUAAAUAUAGAACUACCAUAUGACCAUGACCCAGCAAUCCCACUACUGGGCAUAUACCCUGAGAAAACCAUAAUUCAAAAAGAGUCAUGUACCACAAUGUUCAUUACAGCUCUAUUUACAAUAGCCAGGACAUGUAAGCAACCUAAGUGUCCAUCGACAGAUGAAUGGAUAAGGAAGAUGUGACACAUAUAUACAAUGGAAUAUUACUCAGCCAUAAAAAGAAACGAAAUUGAGUUAUUUGUAGUGAGGUGGAUGGACCUAGAGUCUGUCAUGCAAAGUGAAGUCAGAAAGAGAAAAACAAAUACCAUAUGCUAACACAUAUAUGUGGAAUCUAAAAAAAAAAAAAAAGGUUCUGAUGAACCUAGGGGCAGGACAGGAAUAAAGAGGCAGAUGUAGAGAAUGGACCAGAGGACACGGGGAGGGGGAAGGGUAAGCCGGGACGAAGUGAGAGAGUAGCAUUGACAUAUAUACAAUACCAAACGUAAAAUAGAUAUAUUUUAUAUAUACAAUACCAAAUGUAAAGUAGAUAGCUAGUGGGAAGCAGCUGCAUAGCACAGGGAGAUCACCUCGGUGCUUUGUGACCACCUAGAGGGGUGGGAUAGGGAGGGUGGGAGGGAGACGCAAGAGGGAGGGGAUAUGGGGAUAUAUGUAAAUGUAUAGCUGAUUCACUUUGUUAUACAGCAGAAACUAACACAACAUUGUAAAGCAAUUAUACUCCAAUAAAGAUGUUAAAAAAAAAAGUGACGCGAAUCAAAGACAAUUGUAAAGUGUAUUGGACAAGAGUUCAGGAGACAUGAACAAUGUAAUUGUGUAGAAGAGCAAGUCAAAUGAGAAUAAACCUAAAACUUUCACAGGAAAGUAUCCAGUUUCUACAGGGAUCUAAGAAUUGUGCGUGUGUGUGUGUGUGUGUGUGUGUGUGUGUGUGUGUGUGAGUGACAG